rnacentral:rRNA from 1 species
UGGGGAAUAUUGCACAAUGGGCGGAAGCCUGAUGCAGCGACGCCGCGUGGGGGAUGACGGCCUUCGGGUUGUAAACUCCUUUCACCAUCGACGAAGGUUUUCUGACGGUAGAUGGAGAAGAAGCACCGGCUAACUACGUGCCAGCAGCCGCGGUAAUACGUAGGGUGCGAGCGUUGUCCGGAAUUACUGGGCGUAAAGAGCUCGUAGGUGGUUUGUCGCGUCGUCUGUGAAAUUCCGGGGCUCAACUCCGGGCGUGCAGGCGAUACGGGCAUAACUUGAGUACUGUAGGGGAGACUGGAAUUCCUGGUGUAGCGGUGAAAUGCGCAGAUAUCAGGAGGAACACCGGUGGCGAAGGCGGGUCUCUGGGCAGUAACUGACGCUGAGGAGCGAAAGCAUGGGUAGCGAACA